AUUGAACGCUGGCGGCCGGCCUAACACAUGCAAGUCGAGCGAGCGGCGGACGGGUGAGUAAUGUCUGGGAAACUGCCUGAUGGAUGGGGAUAACUACUGGAAACGGUAGCUAAUACCGCAUACCAUCAGAUGUGCCCAGUUGGGAUUUGCUUGUAGGUGGGGUAACGGCUCACGUAGGCGACGAGCCCUAGCUGGUCUGAGCGGAUGACCAGCCACACUGGAACUGAGACACGGGCCAGACUCCUACGGGAGGCAGCAGUGGGGAAUAUUGCGCAAUGGGCGAAAGCCUGAUGCAGCCAUGCCGCGUGUGUGAAGAAGGCCUUCGGGUUGUAAAGCACUUUCAGCGGGGAGGCGUUACCCGCAGAAGAAGCACCGGCUAACUCCGUGCCAGCCGCCGCGGUAAUUC
rnacentral:rRNA from 1 species